CCUUGUCACAUAUAGACGAGUAUAUCCUUCUUAUUUUGACUGUUGCUGUAACCUUAAUGCUCUUGCUUGGAGGAACACAUCCUCUUUAAUACUUUGCUCUUUGCUAUGUUCUUGUAUAUCUUUUUUGUUGUACAUAUGCAUCUGAAUAAAAGUCGGACAGCAAUUUAUUGCUUCUUUUUUCCAUCAAAAAAAAGAUGACCCCC
rnacentral:lncRNA from 1 species